GGGGCGGGGGUUGGUCGCUGGGGCCCAGAGGCCCGCUCUUCCGCUGAGGCGCCGCCUGCUCUGCCUGACCAGAGACUACCUGAACGUCGAUCCCGGAGUCAGGGCGUACGGCUAAUACGCUUCGUAGCAUGAUGGUUGGAAAACGAGCUUCCUCCCGUUUCAGCUGCGGUAGGUCUGGGCUCAGCGAGAGGCGAGGGGACUAUAAGAUGUAUAAAGGCAGUAUCUUGGACAGCCCCGGUCUUCAGAGGCAGGAAAGACUCAAGGUCACACGGGAUAAAUUGCGAACCGAUUACAGUCUCCUUGCGUCAGUUGCGUGAGAGGAGGGGACUGUUGCGCCUGCGCAGCUGGCAUCCUGCUGAGGGCCUGGAGCGCAUAUGCGCAGGGAGUGGCGGAAAACGGGGGUGGAGUCUAACUCACAGCACUCAUUGGAUGCACCAGCGCGCAUGGAGAAACCACGACCCAGGUUGGAGAAGCGACCUGCUCAAGGUCCCCCAGCAAAUGGAUGAUGGAGCUGGCACCUCCCACACUUCUGUAACUUCAGGCUAAGCCAAGAGUCUCUUGGAUCGCUUCUAUGGAACUUCAUGGGGGAGGAAUGCUCAUCAUUUCAUGGCCACAACAAGAGAAACUGGGAUGAUUUAGAAGGAAUCAUCAAAGGAGACUAAGAAGUUGCAGCCACGUUGACUGGAGGAAAAUCAGAAGAGCCUGGUGCCUUGGAGGCCCAAUGAAGACAAUGUUUCAAGGAGGAGAGUAAUCUGCUGCUGAUGGUACAACUCAACUGUGGACGGAGACUGACGACUGGAUUUGGCAUCAUGGAGGUCAUCAGGGACCCUGAUAGAGGCAGUUUUGGUGGGGAGCGAGCACUAAAGUCUGACUGGAGUGGUCACAGCAUAAAGGCCACUUCCUCCGGUCACUGAACCCCAGACUAGGUUAAUUUCCCCCGAAAUCUACUUGUAUCUCUCCCCUAUCUUCACACUUGACCUUCUUUUUAAUAGUUUACCUGUGGUUUUUUUUUUUUUUGAGGAAGAUUAGCCCUGAGCUAACUACUGCCAGUCCUCCUCUUUUUGCUGAGGAAGCCUGGCCCUGAGCUAACAGCUGUGCCCAUC